rnacentral:rRNA from 1 species
GAUGAACGCUGGCGGCGUGCCUAAUACAUGCAAGUCGAGCGAACGGACGAGAAGCUUGCUUUUCUGAUGUUAGCGGCGGACGGGUGAGUAACACGUGGAUAACCUACCUAUAAGACUGGGAUAACUUCGGGAAACCGGAGCUAAUACCGGAUAAUAUUUUGAACCGCAUGGUUCAAAAGUGAAAGACGGUUUUGCUGUCACUUAUAGAUGGAUCCGCGCUGCAUUAGCUAGUUGGUAAGGUAACGGCUUACCAAGGCAACGAUGCAUGGCCGACCUGAGAGGGUGAUCGGCCACACUGGAACUGAGACACGGUCCAGACUCCUACGGGAGGCAGCAGUAGGGAAUCUUCCGCAAUGGGCGAAAGCCUGACGGAGCAACGCCGCGUGAGUGAUGAAGGUCUUCGGAUCGUAAAACUCUGUUAUUAGGGAAGAACAUAUGUGUAAGUAACUGUGCACAUCUUGACGGUACCUAAUCAGAAAGCCACGGCUAACUACGUG